UACGAAGGGGGCUAGCGUUGCUCGGAAUCACUGGGUGUAAAGGGUGCGUAGGCGGGUCUUUAAGUCAGGGGUGAAAUCCUGGAGCUCAACUCCAGAACUGCCUUUGAUACUGAAGAUCUUGAGUUCGGGAGAGGUGAGUGGAACUGCGAGUGUAGAGGUGAAAUUCGUAGAUAUUCGCAAGAACACCAGUGGCGAAGGCGGCUCACUGGCCCGAUACUGACGCUGAGGCACGAAAGCGUGGGGAGCAAACAGG
rnacentral:rRNA from 1 species